GACGAACGCUGGCGGCGUGCUUAACACAUGCAAGUCGAACGGAAAGGCCCUGCUUUUGUGGGGUGCUCGAGCGGCGAACGGGUGAGUAACACGUGAGUAACCUGCCCUUGCCUUUGGGAUAACUUCAGGAAACUGGGGCUAAUACCGGAUAGGAGCUCCUGCUGCAUGGUGGGGGUUGGAAAGUUUCGGCGGUUGGGGAUGGACUCGCGGCUUAUCAGCUUGUUGGUGGGGUAGUGGCUUACCAAGGCUUUGACGGGUAGCCGGCCUGAGAGGGUGACCGGCCACAUUGGGACUGAGAUACGGCCCAGACGCCUACGGGAGGCAGCAGUGGGGAAUAUUGCACUAUGGGCGGAAGCCUGAUGCAGCAACGCCGCGUGCGGGAUGACGGCCUUCGGGUUGUAAACCGCUUUCGCCUGUGACGAAGCGUGAGUGACGGUAAUGGGUAAAGAAGCACCGGCUAACUACGUG
rnacentral:rRNA from 1 species